GUCCACGCCGUAAACGAUGAAUGCUAGGUGUUAGGGGUUUCGAUACCCUUGGUGCCGAAGUUAACACAUUAAGCAUUCCGCCUGGGGAGUACGGUCGCAAGACUGAAACUCAAAGGAAUUGACGGGGACCCGCACAAGCAGUGGAGUAUGUGGUUUAAUUCGAAGCAACGCGAAGAACCUUACCAGGUCUUGACAUCCCUCUGAUCGGUGUAGAGAUACAUCUUUCCUUCGGGGACAGAGGAGACAGGUGGUGCAUGGUUGUCGU
rnacentral:rRNA from 1 species